UACGUAGGGUGCAAGCGUUGUCCGGAAUUAUUGGGCGUAAAGAGCUCGUAGGCGGUUUGUCGCGUCGAAUGUGAAAACCCGGGGCUCAACCCCGGGCCUGCAUUCGAUACGGGCAGACUAGAGUUCGGUAGGGGAGUCUGGAAUUCCUGGUGUAGCGGUGAAAUGCGCAGAUAUCAGGAAGAACACCCGUGGCGAAGGCGGCUCUCUGGUACGUGACUGACGCUGAGACGCGAAAGCGUGGGGAGCAAACAGG
rnacentral:rRNA from 1 species